rnacentral:rRNA from 4 species
AAGGUCUCCGUAGGUGAACCUGCGGAGGGAUCAUUA